rnacentral:rRNA from 1 species
UUUAUUUGCGCAGGAUAGGUGGGAGGCUUUGAUCAUAUUUUUGCGGAAUUAUGUGAGCCGUUGGUGAGAUACCACUCUUGUAAAGCUAGAAUUCUAACCUUGUAUCGUAAGCAGGUCGGGGAACAGUUUCAGGUGGGCAGUUUGACUGGGGCGGCCGCCUCCUAAAAGGUAACGGAGGCGCACAAAGGUUUCCUCAUAUCGGUCAGAAAUCGAUAGUAGAGCGUAAAGGCAUAAGGAAGCUUGACUGCGAGACCUACAAGUCGAGCAGAGACGAAAGUCGGUCUUAGUGAUCUGACGGUUCCGAGUGGAAGGGCCGUCACUCAACGGAUAAAAGUUACUCUAGGGAUAACAGGCUGAA